rnacentral:rRNA from 1 species
GACGAACGCUGGCGGCGUGCCUAAUACAUGCAAGUCGAGCGAAGUUUUUCUGGUGCUUGCACUAGAAAAACUUAGCGGCGAACGGGUGAGUAACACGUAAAGAACCUGCCUCAUAGACUGGGACAACUAUUGGAAACGAUAGCUAAUACCGGAUAACAGUAUUUCUCGCAUGAGAGAUAUUUAAAAGUUGGUUAUGCUAACACUAUGAGAUGGCUUUGCGGUGCAUUAGCUAGUUGGUGGGGUAAAGGCCCACCAAGGCGACGAUGCAUAGCCGACCUGAGAGGGUGAUCGGCCACACUGGGACUGAGACACGGCCCAGACUCCUAAGGGAGGCAGCAGUAGGGAAUCUUCCGCAAUGGGCGAAAGCCUGACGGAGCAACGCCGCGUGAGUGAAGAAGGAUUUCGGUUCGUAAAGCUCUGUUGUUAGGGAAGAAUGGAUAUGUAGUAACUAUACAUGUAAGAGACGGUACCUAACCAGAAAGCCACGGCUAACUACGUG